rnacentral:rRNA from 1 species
GCAAAACGCGAAGAACCUUACCAGGGCUUAAAUGUAGAGUGACAGGACUGGAAACAGUUUUUCUUCGGACACUUUACAAGGUGCUGCAUGGUUGUCGUCAGCUCGUGCCGUGAGGUGUCAGGUUAAGUCCUAUAACGAGCGCAACCCCUGUUGUUAGUUGCCAGCGAGUAAUGUCGGGAACUCUAACAAGACUGCCGGUGCAAACCGUGAGGAAGGUGGGGAUGACGUCAAAUCACCACGGCCCUUACGUCCUGGGCUACACACGUGCUACAAUGGCCGGUACAGAGAGCAGCCACCUCGCGAGGGGGAGCGAAUCUAUAAAGCCGGUCACAGUUCGGAUUGGAGUCUGCAACCCGACUCCAUGAAGCUGGAAUCGCUAGUAAUCGGAUAUCAGCCAUGAUCCGGUGAAUACGUUCCCGGGUCUUGUACACACCG